rnacentral:rRNA from 1 species
GAUGAACGCUGGCGGCGUGCCUAAUACAUGCAAGUCGAGCGAACAGACGAGGAGCUUGCUCCUCUGACGUUAGCGGCGGACGGGUGAGUAACACGUGGAUAACCUACCUAUAAGACUGGGAUAACUUCGGGAAACCGGAGCUAAUACCGGAUAAUAUAUUGAACCGCAUGGUUCAAUAGUGAAAGACGGUUUUGCUGUCACUUAUAGAUGGAUCCGCGCCGCAUUAGCUAGUUGGUAAGGUAACGGCUUACCAAGGCAACGAUGCGUAGCCGACCUGAGAGGGUGAUCGGCCACACUGGAACUGAGACACGGUCCAGACUCCUACGGGAGGCAGCAGUAGGGAAUCUUCCGCAAUGGGCGAAAGCCUGACGGAGCAACGCCGCGUGAGUGAUGAAGGUCUUCGGAUCGUAAAACUCUGUUAUUAGGGAAGAACAAAUGUUUAAGUUACUAUGCACGUCUUGACGGUACCUAAUCAGAAAGCCACGGCUAACUACGUG